CUGUUAGUGUACGAUGUUGUUGGUUUAUUAAUACAUGACAUAUAUCAAUAAGAUACUGCUCUGGAUUAAGAGAGGAUUUCAACUGUUGCUCAAUGACAUUCACAAUUUUGGUAUUAAUCUUGCAGCAUGAAGCUCAUUUGUUACUCUCAAUAAAUUACCAGAAACAGCAUCAGACCAGGAUUGAGUUCAACAUCUCCUGAUAAGAGGAGGAGGAGAAAUAAAACCAAACAGUAGAUCAGGUCAGAGCUACUGCCAAUAGUAGCUAUAAACAAGACUAAUGACUGGAGGCAGCGGAUCAUAACAGUAACAGUAAUUAUACCUAUU